AAAUUUCCUAUUAAAAGUGAUUUGUUUGAGAAAAAUAUGUAAAAUUGAAAGUUUAAAUUAUAAGAACUUGUAGCUCCGGGUUGUACGUCUGGCUAUACCAGCAAUUCGGAGAAGUUUAAUUUUUUUCUUGUGCCAAAAGAUCCCAAAGAAAUCAAACGAUGACAACAGGCUAUUCGCAGAGAUGACAAAAAUACAGUUUGUGAACAUAACUUUUGGGAAAGUGACAUAAUUUGAAAGGCAGAAGUUAAAGGCCCAGACGAAAGUGUAAUGUCCACUAAUCCGUUUUACAACCUUCAAGUGCUCAGCAACAUCCAAUACUCAUAUCAAAGCUACGCUACGUCCGAAAUAAUGGCAGAUUAAUUGAAGCUAAUGGACAUUAUGGAAUAUUGAUGAACGACAAUUCAAUUGUUGCAAUUACUGCAGCACAGGCGGUUCUUUUAGGUGCAAUUGUUCGCAGCCAAGCUCCCCAAAUAUUAAUCGAAGUUAAUGGACAUUAUGGAUUACGCAAGGCUGAUAAUUCGAUUGUUGUAAUUUCCCUAGAACAGGCGGCCCUGUUAGGUGCUGUACCUCGCCCCGAAGAUCCAAUUCUUCUUAAGGAAGGUGAUACAGUAUACCGUAAUCAAAAUCAUGUUCUAACAGUACAAGGAGAGGCUAUUUCUAACACUUGUCCAAACGGUCUACCAAUGACGUUUAAAGCUGAACAAGGUGAUAUAGUGAUCCGCAGUGGACUUCCUAUUGCAACAUUUGAUAAUAAUAAGUUUCGUCGGUGGAAGCCUCGGCAGUAGGCACAUGUACAUCCUUGCUCAAAUCAAGUAAAGAAAGACAGGCAAAUAACAUAAACUGAAAUAAUACUGGUCUUCCCUCUUACCAGGUCGAAAUGGUUAGGAUCGAGGUCCCACACUACAUAGGUCAACAUGAUAAGAAUGAUGCCUCAUUCGAAAUGGACGAAAUUCAAAAACUACGAAACAGUCUCGAAAUAUUAUAAUAAAUAAAACAUUUAAAUAAAUUUAUUUUUAAUAAUCAUAUUAUCUCGCAAAGACCAUUCACGAAAUAUCUCAAAUGUCAGUAAAUAUCGGUGACAGGAAUCUUGGAUCAUGAUCGCCCAGACUUAUCUGCUGUUACGUAAAAUUCCUUUUAUUUUGCAUUUUUCCUGAAUCAAAAUAUUUCCUAUAAUAUUCGAAGGUUUCUACGAGUACAACCUAGGGCAAUGCACGACAUUCUUUAUCAGGGUCAAUAAACCUCUUUAAGUUUACUUUACAGAAAUGCUAACCUAAGAAAAAUAUUGUCUUAUUUUCGAAAGAAGAACCAAAACGUAAUGGCCUGUAAAUAUACAGGUAAGAAAUCUACCCUCUGAGUUGGUCGAUUCCCGCGCUUCGCGCUGUACAUGCUAUGGCGCCUUCAAAUGGUGCCCAGUAACGUCAAUCAAACGAUUUUUUCGGGCACCCGGAGCCCGAUACUUAAAGAUGCUUCCAAUAUAAUACAUUAUUAAUCAUUUAUCAUUCAAUUAUUUCUUAAUUAUUUUACAUUUCUAAUAAAUAAGUUAUUUACAUAUUUAAAAUAAUAUACGCAAAAAUAUUACAAUAAAUUGAAAUGCAUUUAAUAAAAAUUGAAUGCAAUAAAUGCAUUGACGAGGGACUGGAGUCCUUGCAUGAACAGCGGGGGCGCCCGCUUUCGUACUGCCUUGUUUGUGCAUAAACCUUCUAAAAUUAAAGGUUAAACCAUCGAGAACUUUAAUUUGGUGAUUGUAAACUCUCUUUUGUUAAAGCUGCUUUGCCUUUAAGGAACACAUUCUCAUCAUAUUUUUCGUGCACUCUAUUAUGAUAAUUAUAUAUAUUAUUAAUGCAUGUACCACUGUCUGGGCCUGCUUAUUCAGAUAUUGCGUAAUGAAGUACAAAUUCGAUUUUUCCUGAUUAUUUUAAUAUUUGUUCCUUAUUUUGCAUCAAUCUUAGUUCGAAAAUACCCGGAAAAAUG